UCCACCAGCAGCUAAACGUGGCAAUGUUAGUGGCAGGUUAUUAGUCAAAGACAGGUAACUGCAUUUCUAGGUUGAUUUUCAUUCGGAUUUUGAAUAGAUCAAUUAAUAUCAUUGGGACGCUAUUUCUAGUCUGAACUUUUUGAAGGGAUUGUAAAUCUUAUCAAAUUCAGGUAUAUUAGUCAUAAUUAUAUUCCAGCAAGAGGUGCAUAUGUAGGCUUGGCUCCACCGGGAGUUGGAUCUUGGCAAAGAGAAUGCAAGGUGAUUUUUUCAUGAAUACCAUAUCCUGUGGAUUAUUUAUUAUAAAAUACAAACGUACGAGGGGACGUUCCUCUAGCUAAUGAAGGCACAAUCUCAUGUACCCUUUUCAUGCUUUGCUUAAUCAUCCGUCUUAUCACAAACUUCGUAGGCUCCUCAUAAUUGUCCUCCUUGGAGUACGUCAAUAUAGGUCUAAAACCAAUUUCGGGAUUCUCCAUCUCUCGAUGCAUAUAUGCAAAUGAGUGAAAGUUGUACAUGUCGGGAAUUUACUUAAUCAUGCACAAAGGAUAAUAAAACAAAUUUCAAUUCCCACCAAAAAUCUGCUCUGUGUUUAAAUAACAAUUAUACCUUUCUUGAAAUCUGCAAACUGAUUUGCGUUUCUUUUGUUUUAACAAUCUUGAUCUGCCAUCCACAACUGUUUAAUUGUCCAGCUUCCAAUGAAAUUUCACACAGGAAACAAGAUUAAGUGAGAACCAAGUUUACUUUUUUGAUCUGCCAUCUACAGCUGUUUAAUUGUACAAAUUUUUGAACCCCAUUUAAUUCAUUUCCUCCUGUAUACGGUCUUUUAGAAUAUUUAUAAUAAUUGUGGGAAUAUUCAUGAUCCAGAAAAUACUUCAUGUACAAACUCCUCCAUAGAAAUCUAAGUUUGACAAUACGGUUCCUAAAAUGAUAGAUAAGCCAAUUUUUCGUUUCAAUGUAUCUUAAGUUGCAAAUGAGAGCAAUAAGAGAUUUAAGAGGACUAGAGGAGCAUUGCUUAGUUUUUGGUAUGACAUUUAACAAAUGCCCACCAUUUCAAAAACUGUAUAAUAAGUUUUGUUUUGCUACAGGACUAUCAAUUCUGGACAAGAGCAGAUGAAGAAGGCUAUUUUUCCAUUAAAAACAUCCUUACCGGGGACUAUAGUCUCCAUGCAUGGGUACCGGGAUUCAUAGGAGAUUACUUAAAUAAAAAUUCUAUUACCAUAACAUCAGGUUGCUUCAUUAAUAUUGGCAACCUUGUCUACAAGCCCCCAAGAAAUGGACCAACCUUGUGGGAAAUCGGCAUCCCUGACCGUUCUGCUAGAGAAUUUUACAUCCCCGAUCCCAACCCUAAAUAUAUCAACAAACUUUAUAUCAAUCAUGACAGGUUAGUAUUCCUUGUAACAUUUUAUUUAUGUAGCCGAUCCCAAAGUUAUUGACAAUAAGGUUUAAUUUGUUAUGUUUUUAUCUGUUCUCAAUUUCUAAGACACAGUAAAUUUACUUGCGGAUGUGUAUCCUAUCCUCAGGUUUAGACAGUAUGGAUUAUGGGAAAGAUACACAGAGUUGUAUCCUAACGGUGAUUUGGUCUACACAGUUGGUCAGAGCGAUUACACGAAAGAUUGGUUUUUUGCACAAGUUACCAGGUUAACGUAAUUUCUAAUCAUCUUAAAUUUACUCAGUUUCAAUACGUAUCUGUAUUGGAAUAUAAUCAUGUUUUGGGAAAAUUCUAACUAUCGAUGUGGAUUAAAAUCAGAAUUUUGGUAGACUUUGAUAAAACCUGACGAAAUUUAUGAUUGAAAAAUUAUGUGUCCUAUAAGAUAUAUAAUAAAAUUAAUUAUUGACUUUGACUUAGAUUUUAUUCCACACCAAACAUGGGUGGAGAGAACUUUGCCCACAUAGCUGAUAUUUCGAAAAGCAGAAAUAACUUGAAACUCCUAAGCCUAUGGCUUCCUUUUUCCUUGUUAUUUCUCUUCAAUAAGACUGCAUCUGUAGGGAAUAAUGGUCUGCUACUUGAGAUCUCUGUUUCUCUCGUCCGUAGCAAGAAAACUUAACCAUGCUGAUAAGGCAUUAAUUUUGCAAGAUUUCAUGUCUCUCAGAAAAAAAGAUGAGAAAACAUACCAAGGCACUACAUGGCAGAUUAAGUUUAAUCUAGACAUGGUCAACCCACGUGGAACAUAUAACUUGAGAUUGGCUCUUGCAUCUGCAACUCAAGCCAAAUUAGAGGUCAGCACGUGCAUUUUUCAUCUUAUCGCCGAAUUACAUCAUAUAUUGAGAAUGAUGAAUAAUGCUAUUUAUGAACAUUUGUAGGUUCGAGUGAACAUUUCAGACCAUAAUCCACCACUAUUUUCGAGCGGCAUAAUAGGAAAUGAUAACGCAAUAGCGAGAUACGGGAUUCAUGGUCUCUAUUGGCUCUUUAAUGUGGACAUAAGAGGUACUCUACUCGUUCGAGGGAACAACGCAAUUUAUUUGACACAAGCAAAUGCCACAAGCCCUUUCCAAGGGAUCAUGUAUGAUUAUAUUCGUUUAGAAGGCCCACAGCGUUGAUUUGUCUCUAAAUUGAGGGAAGAUUCAAACUUUAUUUAUACUUCAGAAUUAAUGUCACCUUCUUAAUAAUGAAAUUUUU
rnacentral:lncRNA from 1 species